GGUGAUCACGGUGGAUGGGAAUGACGCCCUGCCCAGGUGAUCACGGUGGAUGGGAAUGACGCCCUGCCCAGGUGAUCACGGUGGAUGGGAAUGACGCCCUGCCCAGGUAUCGCAACAUUCAUGGUGAAUAGGAUUUGAGUAGUAGGGGGAAAAAUCCUACCAGCUGACCCUCUGUAUUUUUACUGUGUUUGAGUAACCUUAAAACAAAUUCAUACUGUGGCUAAUUCCACAGCUAUGCAUUGAUUCCUUGAGAGCAAGAUGAUGCCAGGCUAGCGUUGUCAGUAAGAAAUAAAUCUAUUACAAAUGA
rnacentral:lncRNA from 1 species